AUGGAUUCGCUUCUUGCCACCUACGCCUCUUCCGACGAAGACGCCGACGAGAGCAUCCCCUCACCCGCUCCCGCGACCCGCCGCGGCGAGGCGAGCGGAAAGCCCGCCGGCGGCAUCUUCUCCGCGCUCCCGCAACCCAAGUCGGCGCCUAUAUUCUCAUCGCUCCCGGCGCCGAAAUCCGCCGCGACCUUCUCCUCCAUCCCGCCUCCCAAAUCGUCCGUUUCCUCCGGAAACCCUAAGCGCGUCGUACAGUUCCGCCCGCCGCCGAUCCGCCAGACCACCGGGGUCAGCUCGGACGAGGAUGAUGACGCCGAGAAGCGCCGUCCCAGCGUCAGCGAGGCGCCCCCGCCCCUGUCUGCUGGAUCGGGGCCGGUGUCUUCGUUCCUCCCGGCGCCCAGGCACUCGCUUGGCUUCGGCUCCGGCGCGGCCAGGAGGUCGGCCGUAGACACCGCCGGGCCGGAGAGGUCAAAUCUUGGUGCUGCUGGCCCCUCUAGCUCGGCUGUCAACAGAGGGGCGCCAGAAAGGUCCGAUACUGGCCCUGCCGACGAGGACGAUCCUGAGAAAAGCAGCGAUGAGGAUGGCAUGCCUGCUCCGGAGCAACAGCAAGAACAACAGGGUCUUGGUGCUGAAGCUGGAGACGUCCAACACCAGGGUUGUGAUGCUGGAGUUGGAAACGCUAAUGGGUACGAAGGCUAUGCAUGGGAUCCAAACUAUUAUGCAUAUUAUGGUUUGGAUCCAAAUAGCAAUUUGAAUUAUGGGGCUGAACCACAGUAUGCAGCAUAUGGAGUGGAGCAAGGUGGUGGGUAUGAUAAUGGAUAUGGCGGGGAGCACAGUGGUGGAUACGAGCAUUCGACAGCGCCUCCAUGUGGAGGGGAAUAUACUGGAGGUUACAGUGCUGAGGCAGUGGCAAUGGCAGCGCCACCAAUGCGGGAGCCUGCACUGCCACCAGAAUUGGGCAGGAUUGGAGUGAAGAGAGGUAGGAGGGAUAUGCCUAUGGAGAUUAUAGAGGUGAAUCAGGCAGAACUGGUCAAGAACCGUCCGAGGGAGGACAAAUCCAAGCUCACAGGGAUGGCCUUUGGUCCUAGUUACCAGGCCGCCCCAUCAGGGAAGGGAAAGCCCUCCAAGCUGCAGAAGAGAAAGCAUCAGAUCGGUUCUCUCUUCUACGACCUGAAGCAGAAGGAGAUGGAGCUUUCCGAGAGGCGUGCCAAGGGCUUCCUCACGAAAGCGGAGACUCAAGCAAAAUAUGGGUGGUGA
rnacentral:rRNA from 1 species